UACAGAAUGUAAGGAAGCUGUUGCAUCACUAAUGGUUAUUGCAGCUAGAGUUUCUGAUUUACCAGAGUUUUGUGACAUUAGGCCACUAUUUCAAGAGAGUUAAGUGAACUCUGGAUUAUUAUGUGGAUCAAAAGUUUGCUGAGAACACAGCUUCAAAGCCUCCCACAUUGGAGAAGAAGGUUUGGUUGACAUAGCAUUGGAGUUUUCAAUAAAGUGGGACUCCAAGGCCUUUGAAAAAAAUGUCUAAAUCUCCUGCAUUUAUACAGGUCUUGGCCUACUGUGUUGCUGCAAUAACACCUGUAUCAGAUAUUCACAUACAAUACAAAGUCCUGGGAUGUCAAAGUUUGGUGAAUUUCUUAUUUGGGAAAAAAGUAUUGCUCUUUCGAAUUAUAAGGCAGUUGCAAUUUCGCAGGGCAAGCCAUCAAAUUUUGUAGAGCUCUCCAUCCCAGGGGACUUUCCAAAUGAUUGGGCUCCGAUCCAACACAUGAUAGCUGAAGGCCUGGCAAGGUCUGGAUCAAAAGAAGCAAAGUUAGUGCGAGAAGACAUUGCUGUAAGGUGGAUCAGAACCAAUUAUAAAGGCUACAAGAAAACAGGUGUCAUGCAUGAAAAAUAUGACUGGAAGAGUGGAGAAUUUUGGAGGUGGUGGUGAAUACGUACCCCAGAUUUGUCAGCUGGCUGAACAGAUUCCAGUUGCAAUUUUUCUUAAGGUUAACUAUGAAGAGCUCAACGCUAUGUGCCAUGGUCUCCACAUUCAUGUGAUACCAUUCUUUAGGUUUUAUAGAGGCGCAGAAGGGCGAGUACGUAGCUUCGGCUGCACCAUUGCCGCUAAAUUCAAAGAUGCAUUAGCUAAAUAUGGGACUGAGGGUUGAAGUCUUGGCCCGCAAAGGGGAUUACAUGAGUCUGAUAUUACACUUGACUGAGAUAGGUGAAAUAUCAGCAAGAUCUUGUUCACCAUCAACCAAUGAAGAGUGGGUGGUUGGGGAGGGGGGGAGAUGAUUUGGUCAUGUAAAACAUAGAUUUGUCUGGUGUUUGGAGCAAUGUGAUCCAUAACCAUGAGGGCUUGCUCUCUACGGGCGUGUCUAUCCAGAUCUCUGGUUGCGAUUUGCUUCUCCCAUCUUUGGUGGUUCUGCUUCCCUUUUCGUGGGCUACAUGGUAGUCAACACCCAGGAGAUGAUUGAGAAGGGCACACCAUGGUGAUCUGGACUACGUGAAGCUUUCCCUAACCCUUUUCACUGAUUUCAUUGCUGUUUUAUUUGCACACUCAUAGUCAGAGUAAUUUUGUCUCUAACCAGCUUAGAAUACCAGCUUUCCUUUUAAAGGGCCGUUCCCCCAUUUUCGUUUUACAAUCUUCCAUUACAAUCUUCCUACUAUGCUAUCUCAGCAGAAAAACCCACCUAGGGAUUUGCAACCUCUGCCGCCACAGCCACAACUAGCUUCAAAUCAUGGUCAUGGUCAACCCGAUAAGCAUCCAUUCUCUAUAAGGUAUAUCGGAGAAAAUGACAAGGAAAUGAGCUUAAAGACACAUGAGAAGGAUGUGAGACAUUGGAGAUGACAAAGGCAAGGCACAAGGGAUGCAGAAAUGAGCUGAAAUGAAAAAAUGGAGUUUUCCUGGUCCGACUAGGAAUCCCAGUCAACGCAGGAAUCCUGAUGAGGCUAGGAAACCUGAAGGCAUUAGGAGACUACAUGGCUUGAAGAUGACGUUGGAGAUAUUUUGGGAGAUUAAAUCUGAUUUUUGUCAUGGGAAAUCAUGGAGUUAAUGUCAAAAAUCAAGAGAGGAUCAAGGAUAAUGACACCAUGGAGAGAUUUAAGGGAGAAAAUGUCCAAAACAAGUCCAGAUUCAUUCCUAUUUUCACUCAAGAGUAUUUUGGCCGAAAAUUAAGAGAAAAAUCAGAUAAAAUCUUGGGAAAAUCAGCAAUAAUAUAUUUUGAAAGAUUAUGGACUUAUUUUGGAGCUUUUUGAUUGGUUGGAUGACUCAACAGGGCUGACGUGACAUUAUUUGAUUGGCUGAAGCUGUGUGGCAUGACUAGACAAUUCUUUGGGAAAUUAAAAAGAAGAUUCAUGAAGCUUGGUCGUUCCCCUAUAUAUACCCCCCCCUCUCUACCACACACAACACACCUCUCCCCUCAGAAUAAUUCUAUACACCUCUCUCCCUCAGAAAAUAAACAUCAGAAAAAUUCUCUCCAUUCUCUAGUCUUCAGAAGCUCUGCGUCUCAACCAAGGAGGAGAAGAAGCCAUGCAAUACAUCAAGAUUCUAGCCGCCAUCCACCCUUGUGUCGUCCCUAGAAGAUUGCUUGCUUUCAAGGAUCUUCAAGUUCUUCGUCUCAAGGCUUGUCAUCCAUCUUUCACGGUGUGUACCCUCAAUCCCCGGUUAGAACGAUCCCUAUUUACCAUAUACUAACGAUGACAUUUUUCAGGGUUAAAUUGCGCGCUUACUCUUAGCGUGUCAAUUUUUGGCGCCGUUGCCGGAGAUUGAAAAAUCACUUGUUAAAUUGUGUUAUUGUUUAUAAUUGUUGUAUAUAAACUGUUUGCAACUUAGUGUAAAUUAAUUAGGAUGUUAUUUAUAUUGUUAAAUACGAAUUUUAAUUGUAAGUUGUAAAUUAAAUGGAAUAGGUGAAGUCGCAUUUGUUAAUAUUGGCCUAAACCCCUUAUUGGUACCUAGCUCAGGUCCUAUAAGGUUGAGGGCGGCCUUUAUUAACACUUGUUGAACUGUCUUCACAAUUAUGACCUUUUUCAUCCUAGUAAGUAUAGCCUAUGUGGGAUGGUGUCUAGGAAGGGGACAACGUUCAUGACAGGUUUUGAAUCCAGAAGUGCUUGCAAAUGGGUCUAAACCACUAUGUGGGAGUAGCUCAUGCCAAAAUGGAUUCUGCCUCUCGUGGUCGCCCUCCCCUACCUGGCCAUUUCAGUAAGGUUGCCCAAAGGAUGUGAAAGGGAUUUUGUGUCUAGACGACUAUACUUGGGCCGCAUGUCCACUUGAUUUACCGCUUGGAAUUUAAUUCGAUACCAAUAAUAUUUAUAACAAAAGAAAAUGUUGUGAUACACUAAGGUAUAUUGG